GACGAACGCUGGCGGCGUGCUUAACACAUGCAAGUCGAACGGAAAGGCCCUGCUUUUGUGGGGUGCUCGAGUGGCGAACGGGUGAGUAACACGUGAGUAACCUGCCCUUGACUUUGGGAUAACUUCAGGAAACUGGGGCUAAUACCGGAUAGGAGCUCCUGCUGCAUGGUGGGGGUUGGAAAGUUUCGGCGGUUGGGGAUGGGCUCGCGGCUUAUCAGCUUGUUGGUGGGGUAGUGGCUUACCAAGGCUUUGACGGGUAGCCGGCCUGAGAGGGUGACCGGCCACAUUGGGACUGAGAUACGGCCCAGACUCCUACGGGAGGCAGCAGUGGGGAAUAUUGCACAAUGGGCGGAAGCCUGAUGCAGCAACGCCGCGUGCGGGGUGACGGCCUUCGGGUUGUAAACCGCUUUCGCCUGUGACGAAGCGUGAGUGACGGUAAUGGGUAAAGAAGCACCGGCUAACUACGUG
rnacentral:rRNA from 1 species